CCUACGGGAGGCAGCAGUGAGGAAUAUUGGUCAAUGUGGCGGAAGCCUGAACCAGCCAUCCCGCGUGAAGGAAGAAUGCGCUAUGCGUUGUAAACUUCUUUUCCAGGGGAAGAAAACCUCUGAUGUAUCGGAGCUUGCCGGUACCCUGGGAAUAAGCAUCGGCUAACUCCGUGCCAGCAGCCGCGGUAAUACGGAGGAUGCGAGCGUUAUCCGGAUUUAUUGGGUUUAAAGGGUGCGUAGGCGGAUAAAUAAGUCAGUGGUGAAACCCUGCAGCUUAACUGUAGACUUGCCGUUGAUACUGUUUAUCUUGAGUUUGGUCAAGGCAGGCGGAAUGUGUAAUGUAGCGGUGAAAUGCUUAGAUAUUACACAGAACACCGAUAGCGAAGGCAGCUUGCUGGGCCGUUACUGACGCUGAUGCACGAAAGCGUGGGGAUCGAACAGGAUUAGAUACCCUGGUAGUCCACGCCGUAAACGAUGAUCACUAGCUGUUGGCGAUACACAGUCAGCGGCAAAGCAAAAGCAUUAAGUGAUCCACCUGGGGAGUACGGCCGCAAGGCUGAAACUUAAAGGAAUUGACGG
rnacentral:rRNA from 1 species